GACGAACGCUGGCGGCGUGCCUAAUACAUGCAAGUCGAACGAGAGCGACCGGUGCUUGCACUGGUCAAUCUAGUGGCGAACGGGUGAGUAACACGUGGGUGACCUGCCCAUCAGAGGGGGAUAACAUCCGGAAACGGAUGCUAAAACCGCAUAGGUCUUCGAGCCGCAUGGCUUGAAGAGGAAAAGAGGCGCAAGCUUCUGCUGAUGGAUGGACCCGCGGUGCAUUAGCUAGUUGGUGAGGUAACGGCUCACCAAGGCCGUGAUGCAUAGCCGACCUGAGAGGGUGAUCGGCCACAUUGGGACUGAGACACGGCCCAAACUCCUACGGGAGGCAGCAGUAGGGAAUCUUCCGCAAUGGACGCAAGUCUGACGGAGCAACGCCGCGUGAGUGAAGAAGGUUUUCGGAUCGUAAAACUCUGUUGUUAGAGAAGAACAAGUGCUAGAGUAACUGUUAGCGCCUUGACGGUAUCUAACCAGAAAGCCACGGCUAACUACGUG
rnacentral:rRNA from 1 species